rnacentral:rRNA from 1 species
GCCCUAGUAACGGCGAGUGAAGCGGCAACAGCUCAAAUUUGAAAUCUGGCUCUUUUAGAGUCCGAGUUGUAAUUUGCAGAGGGCGCUUUGGCUUUGGCAGCGGUCCAAGUUCCUUGGAACAGGACGUCACAGAGGGUGAGAAUCCCGUACGUGGUCGCUGGCUAUUGCCGUGUAAAGCCCCUUCGACGAGUCGAGUUGUUUGGGAAUGCAGCUCUAAAUGGGAGGUACAUUUCUUCUAAAGCUAAAUAUUGGCCAGAGACCGAUAGCGCACAAGUAGAGUGAUCGAAAGAUGAAAAGCACUUUGGAAAGAGAGUCAAACAGCACGUGAAAUUGUUGAAAGGGAAGCGCUUGCAGCCAGACUUGCUUGCAGUUGCUCAUCCGGGCUUUUGCCCGGUGCACUCUUCUGUAGGCAGGCCAGCAUCAGUUUGGGCGGUGGGAUAAAGGUCUCUGUCACGUACCUCUCUUCGGGGAGGCCUUAUAGGGGAGACGACAUACCACCAGCCUGGACUGAGGUCCGCGCAUCUGCUAGGAUGCUGGCGUAAUGGCUGUAAGCGGCCCGUCUUGAAACACGGACCAAGGAGUCUAACAUCUAUGCGAGUGUUUGGGUGUCAAGCCCGAGCGCGUAAUGAAAGUGAACGGAGGUAGGAACCCGUAAGGGUGCACUAUCGACCGAUCCUGAUGUCUUCGGAAGGAUUUGAGUAAGAGCAUGGCUGUUGGGACCCGAAAGAUGGUGAACUAUGCUUGAAUAGGGUGAAGCCAGAGGAAACUCUGGUGGAGGCUCGCAGCGGUUCUGACGUGCAAAUCGAUCGUCAAAUUUGGCAUAGGGCGAAAGACUAAUCGACA